UACGUAGGGUGCAAGCGUUAAUCGGAAUUACUGGGCGUAAAGCGUGCGCAGGCGGUUUUGUAAGUCUGACGUGAAAUCCCCGGGCUCAACCUGGGAAUUGCGUUGGAGACUGCAAGGCUAGAAUCUGGCAGAGGGGGGUAGAAUUCCACGUGUGAGCAGUGAAAUGCGUAGAUAUCAGGAGGAACACCGAUGGCGAAGGCAGGUCUCUGGGCUGACACUGGCGCUCAUGCACGAAAGCGUGGGGAGCAAACAGG
rnacentral:rRNA from 1 species